rnacentral:ncRNA from 2 species
UUUGCCCCAUUAGUUGUUGGUUUUUUAUUCAAGUUUUACGUUGAAUAAAGUGAAAAGGGAAUUCGGUGUGAGUCCGAAACUGUCCCCGCAGCUGUAAGCUCUUAAAAAAAGUUUUUUGUAAACCUUUGCCACUGUCCGUUUGGAUGGGAAGGCGUCUCAAAAAAUAGAGCGAGUCAGAAGACCUGCCAAGAACGUUUUUCGUAG